rnacentral:misc_RNA from 1 species
UUUCCGUAGGUGAACCUGCGGAAGGAUCAUUAAUGAGAUCAUGCCCUUCGGGGUAGACCUCCCACCCUCUGUAUACAAUACCUUUGUUGCUUUGGCGGCCCCGUCGCAAGACAACCGGCUCCGGCUGAGGUGCGCCUGCCAGAGGACCCCAACUCUGUGUUUAGUGUCGUCUGAGUACUAUUUUAAUACGUUAAAACUUUCAACAACGGAUCUCUUGGUUCUGGCAUCGAUGAAGAACGCAGC